rnacentral:rRNA from 1 species
ACGGGGCGCAGCAGGCGAGAAAACUUUGCAAUGUGCGAAAGCACGACAAGGUUAAUCCGAGUGGUUUCUGCUAAAGGAACCUUUUGUUAGUUCUAGAAAUACUAACGAAUAAGGGGUGGGCAAGUUCUGGUGUCAGCCGCCGCGGUAAAACCAGCACCUCAAGUGGUCAGGAUGAUUAUUGGGCCUAAAGCAUCCGUAGCCUGCUCUGUAAGUUUUCGGUUAAAUCUGUAUGCUCAACAUACAGGCCGCCGGAAAUACUGCAGAGCUAGGGAGUGGGAGAGGUAGACGGUACUCGGGAGGAAGUGGUAAAAUGCUUUGAUCUCUCGAUGACCACCUGUGGCGAAGGCGGUCUACCAGAACACGUUCGACGGUGAGGGAUGAAAGCUGGGGGAGCAAACCGGAUUAGAUACCCGGGUAGUCCCAGCUGUAAACUAUGCAAACUCAGUGAUGCAUUGGCUUGAUGCCAAUGCAGUGUUGCAGGGAAGCCGUUAAGUUUGCCGCCUGGGAAGUACGUACGCAAGUAUGAAACUUAAAGGAAUUGGCGGGGGAGCAC